rnacentral:rRNA from 1 species
UACGUAGGGGGCAAGCGUUGUCCGGAUUUAUUGGGCGUAAAGAGCGUGUAGGCGGCCAGACAGGUCCGUUGUGAAAACUCGAGGCUCAACCUCGAGAUGUCGAUGGAAACCGUCUGGCUAGAGUCCGGAAGAGGAGUGUGGAAUUCCUGGUGUAGCGGUGAAAUGCGCAGAUAUCAGGAAGAACACCUAUGGCGAAGGCAGCACUCUGGGGCGGUACUGACGCUGAGACGCGAAAGCGUGGGGAGCGAACAGG